AUUGUGAAUGGAGUAGAGAAAAAACAAAUUUCUAAUAUUACUCUCGAUACAUUAAUUAGUGAAUGUGUGAAGAGGAUUUAACUAAAAUAGAAAUCAAAAUUCAUGAAGAUUUCAUUUAAUUAAUUACUGAAUCACUUUUGAGGGUAUGUUCCAGGUUGCUUUUGAGAAGUAGAAUAAAAAUGAGAUUCUAGUCUAUGUUUCAAAAAAAAA
rnacentral:lncRNA from 1 species